rnacentral:tRNA from 1 species
GAUCAGAUAAUAUAUUUAAUAUAUUGGAUUGCAGAUCCGAAAAUGGCCUCCCUCUGGUCU